UACGUAGGGACCAAGCGUUGUUCGGAUUUACUGGGCGUAAAGGGCGCGUAGGCGGCUUGACAAGUCACUUGUGAAAUCUCUGGGCUUAACUCGGAACGGCCAAGUGAAACUGUCAUGCUAGAGUGCAGAAGGGGCAAUCGGAAUUCUUGGUGUAGCGGUGAAAUGCGUAGAUAUCAAGAGGAACACCUGAGGUGAAGACGGGUUGCUGGGCUGACACUGACGCUGAGGCGCGAAAGCCAGGGGAGCAAACGGG
rnacentral:rRNA from 1 species